rnacentral:rRNA from 1 species
CCCUUAGAUGUUCUGGGCCGCACGCGCGCUACACUGACUGGUUCAUCGAGUAUACAACCUUGACUGAUAGGUCUGGGUAAUCUUCUCAAAGCCAGUCGUGCUGGGGAUAGAUUAUUGUAAUUUUUAAUCUUCAACGAGGAAUUCCUAGUAAACGCGAGUCAUCAACUCGCAUUGAUUACGUCCCUGCCCUUUGUACACACCGCCCGUCGCACCUACCGAUUGAAUGAUUCGGUGAAGAUUCCGGACCGUGUUGUCACCGCUUCACGGCGGUUUUGACGUGGGAAGUUAUCUAAACCUCAUCAUUUAGAGGAAGGUGAAGUCGUAACA